ensembl:lncRNA
CGGAUUUCCUUUAUGGCUGUGUAUCUUUUAUGGUUGUGUUUAACGCUCAACUUGUCUAGCGUGUGUUCGAGAGUUCCUGAUUGUUGGUUCAUUAGUGAUAAAAAUGGCUUCUGAAGAAGAGAACAAGCGGCGUGUGCUGCAAGUGGCGGUGGAGGAGAUGAUUGUUUUGCUACACCUGUCCAAACGGAUAAAACUCUGUGUGUGGCUUCUGUGGAGCAGUGAGAGAUCUGCCUGCUGGAGAUGAAAGAGGAGAUGCAGGUUAUCACUUUCUGGCCAGUGGUAUACGUGAGGGGAGGGGCAAGCAAGGCACACACAGCGAAGGACCCGGAGACAUGGACAUGCAAAUUAUCCUGCAGCUGGGCCAUGAACAUGAGCGAGAAGAAAAGGACGUUCUGAUCAAAGUUAAAAGGACCUCUCAAGCUCCAUCAGGUUCGAUGGGGAUCGUCGGUGCACGGCCACUUUCAGAUCUCUCCAGAGAUGUUCAAUCGGGUUCAAGUCUGGGCUCUGGCUGGGACACUCAAGGACAUUCACAGAGUUGUCCUGUAGCCACUCCUUUGUUAUCUUGGCUGUGUGCUUAGGGUCAUUGUCCUGUUUGAAGAUGAACCUUCGCCCCAGUCUGAGGUCCACAGCGAUCUCUGUACAUUGCUGCAUUCAUUUUUCCCUCGAUCCUGACUAGUCUCCCAGUUCCUGCCGCUGAAAAACAUCCCCACAGUAUGAUGCUGCCACCACCAUGCUUCACUAUAGGGAUGGUAUUGCCCAGGUGAUGAGUGGUGCCUGGUUUCCUCCAGACAUGACGCUUGCCAUUCAGGCCAAAGAGAUCAAUCUUUGUGAGACGGUUGUACUCCUGGAAG